UUUGGCCACCGGAAGCCUGCCGCUGUGCCACACGAGAGCCACACUCAGCUUUGUACAGAUCACCCAGCUGCCUCACUGUGAUAAGGAAAAUGGAUUAAUAUCCCUCACCAGCGAUACAAAGAAAAACAGACUGAACGGUGUGCAUUUAACCAUCUCAGUGCCAAAGGUCCCCAGCUUCCCUCAGAAUUCUCCCUGAUCGUGCAAGCCUGUCAAUCAGAACAACUGCCUGGCAUUGUUGCUGAAGGAGGAAUGGAUGCCUGUGAACCUGAGGAAUUAAUAGGAAUCUGCCAGCUAUCAACAUCUGGGCGAGCUGGAGGGAAAGACCGGGAGAACAAAGGAGCUUGACUGAAAACCAGAGAUGGAACUCAUUGACCUGUUCUUAAUUUCUUUCUUUUGUUUAAUCUUUGCUUGCCUUUAUCUCAAAUUAAUUGUGUGGUAAAUAGAUCGAUUGAAGGCGGAUUAUUGUAAUUGACUAGUGAAAGAAUUGACCCUUGUGUCUUCAAUCUCUACUAUACCAAAUUAGUGAGGUCAUAAAAACAAAAUAAAACGCAUUCAGAGUAAACUGAAAGCCACUAUACAAUCCAACUGUAACGAUUUGGUUAGUUCAAGUACAGACCAUGUCUGCACAGCACCAGGCCUGAAUUUGCGUAGCCCAUAAGCACUGAUGAAAUUUCUGCAGAAGAGGGUAUUGCCUGUGUUUCACUCAAGUAUUUCGCCAAGAUUUGGGGCCUUGUCUUUGGUAGGAGGAAAAUCUGAGAGUAUGAGUCAGGUAUUUCUUUGGUGCAGUCCUGUUUAUUUACAAAGAAUGUACACAAAACCCUAUUUCCCUGAACACAGAAGAAACAAACAGCAGGAGAUGGUUUCCUUCUUCAGAAAUCCAGCAUUUCCAUAGACUACUGUAUCUAUAAGAAGCUCUGUCUCUCCAGUUCGCCCCAAGGUCUUACCUACCAUUUCCUCUCUCACUUGCUUUUGGCUAUCUGGUUGCUUUCUGCCUGUCUCAUGCACAGUCAGUCCUCUCCACGGCCUCUGCAUUUGCUGUCAGUCCUCAGAGGAAACCCUUAAACCGACAUGGCUUAGCUUGUGACUGGCCUAGCUCAGUGCUGUGGAUGAUGGCUUCCUACAGUGUCAACUAUCUAUCACUACACAUAGGAGCAUUUAAUUGCUCCUUCUAUUUAGCCCGAAUGAAGGGUGGUUAGUGCACACAUCAGCUUUAACCAAGUAUGUGACUGAUCUGUAGAUCAAAGACACACUUAAUGGCAGCCAUGAAUACCUUACACCAUAACAAUUUGUCUAUCUGUUUUCUCACCUGAACUGUUCACAAGUUCUCUCUGACAAAAUCGUAUUCAAUUUUUGCCUCACUGUGGGUUUAGCCAAUAUACUAAAAAUAGAUUGUACCAUUGUAAAUAGGGGUAAUUAAGACAGGAUCCCUGUUGUUCAGGCCGAGUGCUCUGAGAGACUCAAGAAUGCCUCUGAGAAACCAGAUUUGAUUCUCCCUACUGCUUUGGAACUCAAGCACAACUAAUAACUGGGUCCCAAGAAUGAAGCCAUGGGUAAAUAUUAAGGGGGAAAUUGAGGCAUUCACUAAGGGAAGGAGAGUGGGGAGGAAGAGCCUCUGUGCCUGAUGAGGGCAGAAUUGUAAGGAAGACUUAUGAUUUGAUAGACUCUGUAGCAAAUACAGCUCCCAUUUAGUCUUAUCGAUCAAAUCCUCCACUUACAAUCCUCUCCUAUGCUAGUAGUUUCUUUCCUCAACUGCACUGAGCAAGGAGAAAAUAAAAAUCUAUGCCGACCAGUCUUUAUGACACUGUUAAUAGGAGCUAUAAGGAAAUACAAUCAACAUGUGACUAUAGCCAAAAGGGGAGUUUGUGCCUCUCUGACAAAUAACAUGCAGCACACUGCCAUAGUCAAGAUUUACUGCAGAUUCUUAAAGAACUGUUUGUUGAUGCCAAGCUAAUAAAUAUAUCGGUUAAAAUCAACUGUAUUUUCCAUGCACCAUCACACAUGAUACAAGAGUGCCAGCAGAGG